UACGUAGGGAGCAAGCGUUGUUCGGAUUUAUUGGGCGUAAAGCGCGCGCAGGCGGGAUGGUAAGUCGGAUGUGAAAGCCCUCGGCUCAACCGAGGAAGUGCGUUCGAAACUACUGUUCUUGAGUGUCGGAGAGGGUGGCGGAAUUCCCGGUGUAGAAGUGAAAUUCGUAGAUAUCGGGAGGAACACCAGAGGCGAAGGCGGCCACCUGGACGAACACUGACGCUGAGGCGCGAAAGCGUGGGGAGCAAACAGG
rnacentral:rRNA from 1 species